rnacentral:rRNA from 1 species
UACAGAGGUGGCAAGCGUUGUUCGGAAUUACUGGGCGUAAAGGGCGCGUAGGCGGCUCGACAAGUCCCGCGUGAAAGCCCCCGGCUCAACUGGGGAACUGCGCGGGGAACUGUCGGACUUGAGUUCGGGAGAGGGAAGCGGAAUUCCGGGUGUAGCGGUGAAAUGCGUAGAUAUCCGGAGGAACACCGGUGGCGAAGGCGGCUUCCUGGACCGACACUGACGCUGAGGCGCGAAAGCUAGGGGAGCAAACGGG